CUGAACUAAAAUGAGUUUGACACCCCUGAUUGUUAAUAUCGUCAGUGUAAUUUUUGCAUUUCACAAAUUCAUCGCAUGGGCCGGAUCGGACCCUUUGGCGGGCCGGUAUUGGCCCACGAGCCAUAUAUGUGACA